rnacentral:rRNA from 1 species
GGCGGACGGGUGAGUAACACGUGAGAAUUUGCCUUUAGGAGGGGGACAACAAUUGGAAACGAAUGCUAAUACCCCAUAUGCUUUCACGAGUAAAAUGGAUUUUAUUAUCUGCCUAAGAGAAGCUCGCGGCUGAUUAGCUUGUUGGUAAGGUAAAAGCUUACCAAGGCGACGAUCAGUAUCUGGUUUGAGAGGACGAUCAGACACACUGGAACUGAGACACGGUCCAGACUCCUACGGGAGGCAGCAGUGGGGAGUUUUCCGCAAUGGGCGAAAGCCUGACGGAGCAAUACCGCGUGAGGGAAGACUGCCUAUGGGUUGUAAACCUCUUUUUUCAGGGAGGAAUAAAAUGACGUGUACCUGAAGAAUAAGCAUCGGCUAACUCCGUGCCAGCAGCCGCGGUAAGACGGAGGAUGCAAGUGUUAUCCGGAAUCACUGGGCGUAAAGCGUCUGUAGGUGGUUUAAUAAGUCAACUGUUAAAUCUUGAGGCUCAACUUCAAAACUGCAGUCGAAACUAUUAGACUAGAGUAUAGUAGAGGUAAAGGGAAUUUC